UACAGGGGGGGCAAGCGUUGUUCGGAAUUACUGGGCGUAAAGGGUUUGUAGGUGGCCACUUAAGUCAGACGUGAAAUCCCUCAGCUUAACUGGGGAACUGCGUCUGAUACUGCGUGGCUUGAGUGCAGGAGAGGAACGCGGAAUUCCAGGUGUAGCGGUGAAAUGCGUAGAUAUCUGGAGGAACACCGGUGGCGAAGGCGGUUCUCUGGGCAUUACCUGACGCUGAGGAGCGAAAGUGUGGGGAGCGAACAGG
rnacentral:rRNA from 1 species